rnacentral:rRNA from 1 species
CGAUGAAGGACGGGACGAACACCGAUAUGCUUCGGGGAGCUGUAAGCAAGCUUUGAUCCGGAGAUUUCCGAAUGGGGAAACCCACCACUCGUAAUGGAGUGGUAUCCAUAUCUGAAUACAUAGGAUAUGAGAAGGCAGACCCGGGGAACUGAAACAUCUAAGUACCCGGAGGAAGAGAAAGCAAAUGCGAUUCCCUGAGUAGCGGCGAGCGAAACGGGACCAGCCCAAACCAAGAGGCUUGCCUCUUGGGGUUGUAGGACACUCUGUACGGAGUUACAAAGGAACGAGGUAGAUGAAGAGGUCUGGAAAGGCCCGCCAUAGAAGGUAACAGCCCUGUAGUCAAAACUUCGUUCUCUCCUGAGUGGAUCCUGAGUACGGCGGAACACGUGAAAUUCCGUCGGAAUCC